AUUAACAUUUCAUGCCACCCUGGACAUGCCUGAUCCCAUCUGAUCUCAGACGCUAAACAGGGUCAGGCCUGGUUAGUAAUUGGAUCAGAGACCACUUUGGUAGGCUGGGUGUUGUAGACG
rnacentral:rRNA from 1 species